GACGAACGCUGGCGGCGUGCUUAACACAUGCAAGUCGAACGGAAAGGCCCUGCUUUUGUGGGGUGCUCGAGUGGCGAACGGGUGAGUAACACGUGAGUAACCUGCCCUUGACUUUGGGAUAACUUCAGGAAACUGGGGCUAAUACCGGAUAUGAGCUCCUGCUGCAUGGUGGGGGUUGGAAAGUUUCGGCGGUUGGGGAUGGACUCGCGGCUUAUCAGCUUGUUGGUGGGGUAGUGGCUUACCAAGGCUUUGACGGGUAGCCGGCCUGAGAGGGUGAACGGCGACAUUGGGACUGAGAUACGGCCCAGACUCCUACGGGAGGCAGCAGUGGGGAAUAUUGCACAAUGGGCGGAAGCCUGAUGCAGCAACGCCGCGUGCGGGAUGACGGCCUUCGGGUUGUAAACCGCUUUCGCCUGUGACGAAGCGUGAGUGACGGUAAUGGGUAAAGAAGCACCGGCUAACUACGUG
rnacentral:rRNA from 1 species